rnacentral:rRNA from 1 species
AUUGAACGCUGGCGGCAGGUCUAACACAUGCAAGUCGGGCGAGCGGAGGACGGGUGAGUAAGGUAUGGGGGUCUGCCCGAUGGAGGGGGAUAACUACUGGAAACGGUAGCUAAUACCGCAUACCAUCAGAUGAACCCAUAUGGGAUUAGCUUGUAGGGGAGGUAACGGCUCACCUAGGCGACGAUCCCUAACUGGUCGGAGAGGAUGAUCAGCGACAUUGGGACUGAGAGACGGCCCUAAGUCCUACGGUCCGUUGCCGUGGGGAAUAUUGCACAUGGGGCGCAAGUCUGAUGCAGCCAUGCCGCGUGUAUGCAGAAGGCCUUCGGGUGUUAAAGUACGUUCAGUCGGGAGGCGUUACCGACAGAAGAAGCACCGGCUAACCCCGGGCCAGCAGCCGCGGUAAUAC